rnacentral:lncRNA from 1 species
UAUUCUUCAUCGACUGAAAGAUCAUGAAGUGAUUGCUAGCACCGUCCAGAUGGUCCGUGACUCAUCCGGUUCGUGAGACGAAGAUCGAUCGGGUAUGCGCCAAUUCCGUGUGGAUACGCGUAGAGGCCGGGCAUGUGCGUGGCUAAUCGGAAUCUCUAUUCGUCAUAUUCACUUUCAACCGUACAGUAGAUCAAGAGACCUUAACUGGUCCAUGGUAAGAUUUCUAAACAUAAAGAGUUUUUGUUUAGAUUAAUUUUUGCAUAGUAACAUGAGAAUGAUCCGCCGGCAACGGUUUGAUUUAUUGGUUUUCGGUUUUCAUAUGUGAUAUGUAUUUAGCUUUCGAAAAAUUUUAAAAGUGCAAAAUUAUUUUCCGCUGCGUUUUUUCUAAUGUGCCGGUUAUUUUCUAACAAUAUUAUGCCCCAAAACAAAUAAAUAAAUAAGCAAAUACGAGAUCAAGAUAGUCCAUAUAUAAAUAUAAAACAUAGAAGGUUCACAUACAAGCAUAGUUGGAAACUGAUACAAGGUAAAACUUGCACUUCGCAUAGUGCAUACUAGCAUAUCUAAAAUCCAAACAGUAAACAAAUAAAAGAUAGAAGGUUCACAUACAAGCAUAGUUGGAAACUAAAUAUAAGUUAAAACUUGCACUUUGCAUAGUGCAUACUAGCAUAUCUAAAGUCUAAACAGUAAACAAAUAAAAGAUAUAUAAAGUUCAUAAUUCCGCAUAUAAGCAUACAUAAAAGCUUGAAUAAACAUAAAGCAUACAAGCACAGAAAGUUCUAGGGGGGUUUGAGUCUUGCGACACCACCCGAGUACACUUUAGAACAAUAUUUGCACUUAAAUUUUUCAUUCAAUUCUUCCGCGUGAAUCCAAAACCUAUCUUUCUUUCGAACCAUUUUUCUGCACAAAAAAAUUAACGACUCAAAUAUUUCAAGCUCUAACACAUGACCGCCUAACAUGGAUUCUCGAAAGAAUAAAAUUACAUCGAAAGAAUAUUAAAAUUACCCAUCAAUCAUGCAUCAAACAUAACCUAACUCGUAAGUAAUAAAUCCCACUUCAUCGGUUCUGAGUCUUCACUCUUCAUACAACAAU